rnacentral:rRNA from 1 species
GACGAACGCUGGCGGCGUGCUUAACACAUGCAAGUCGAACGGAAAGGCCCUGCUUUUGUGGGGUGCUCGAGUGGCGAACGGGUGAGUAACACGUGAGUAACCUGCCCUUGACUUUGGGAUAACUUCAGGAAACUGGGGCUAAUACCGGAUAGGAGCUCCUGCUGCAUGGUGGGGGUUGGAAAGUUUCGGCGGUUGGGGAUGGACUCGCGGCUUAUCAGCUUGUUGGUGGGGUAGUGGCUUACCAAGGCUUUGACGGGUAGCCGGCCUGAGAGGGUGACCGGCCACAUUGGGACUGAGAUACGGCCCAGCCUCCUACGGGGGGCAGCAGUGGGGAAUAUUGCACAAUGGGCGGAAGCCUGAUGCAGAAACGCCGCGUGCGGGAUGACGGCCUUCGGGUUGUAAACCGCUUUCGCCUGUGACGAAGCGUGAGUGACGGUAAUGGGUAAAGAAGCACCGGCUAACUACGUG